rnacentral:rRNA from 1 species
UACGUAGGGACCAAGCGUUGUCCGGAAUCAUUGGGCGUAAAGAGCGUGUAGGCGGCUUGUUAAGUCUUGCGUGAAAUCUCGGGGCUCAACCCCGAGCGGUCGUGAGAAACUGGCAGGCUAGAGUGCGGGAGAGGAGAGUGGAAUUCCUGGUGUAGCGGUGAAAUGCGCAGAUAUCAGGAAGAACACCCGUGGCGAAGGCGGCUCUCUAGUACGGUACUGACGCUGAGACGCGAAGGCGUGGGGAGCGAACAGG